GGUGCUGUAGCUCAGUGGUAGAGCGCUUGCCUAGCACGUGUGAGGCACUGGAUUCAAUCCUCAGCACCA
rnacentral:tRNA from 1 species